UACGUAAGGUACAAGCGUUAAUCGGAUUUACUGAGCGUAAAGCAUGCGCAAGCAGCGGUUCAAGUCAGAUGUGAAAUCCCCAAGCUUAACUUGGGAAUUGCGUUUGAAACUAGAUCGCUAGAGUACGGCAGAGGGGGGUAGAAUUCCACGUGUAGCAGUGAAAUGCGUAGAUAUGUGGAGGAACACCGAUGGCAAAGGCAGCCCCCUGGGCCUGUACUGACGCUCAUGCAUAAAAGCGUAGGGAGCAAACAGG
rnacentral:rRNA from 1 species